rnacentral:rRNA from 1 species
AGUCGAGCGGACAGAUGGGUAAGCUUGCUCCCUGAUGUUAGCGGCGGACGGGUGAGUAACACGUGGGUAACCUGCCUGUAAGACUGGGAUAACUCCGGGAAACCGGGGCUAAUACCGGAUGGUUGUUUGAACCGCAUGGUUCAAACAUAAAAGGUGGCUUCGGCUACCACUUACAGAUGGACCCGCGGCGCAUUAGCUAGUUGGUGAGGUAACGGCUCACCAAGGCAACGAUGCGUAGCCGACCUGAGAGGGUGAUCGGCCACACUGGGACUGAGACACGGCCCAGACUCCUACGGGAGGCAGCAGUAGGGAAUCUUCCGCAAUGGACGAAAGUCUGACGGAGCAACGCCGCGUGAGUGAUGAAGGUUUUCGGAUCGUAAAGCUCUGUUGUUAGGGAAGAACAAGUACCGUUCGAAUAGGGCGGUACCUUGACGGUACCUAACCAGAAAGCCACGGCUAACUACGUGCCAGCAGCCGCGGUAAUACGUAGGUGGCAAGCGUUGUCCGGAAUUAUUGGGCGUAAAGGGCUCGCAGGCGGUUUCUUAAGUCUGAUGUGAAAGCCCCCGGCUCAACCGGGGAGGGUCAUUGGAAACUGGGGAACUUGAGUGCAGAAGAGGAGAGUGGAAUUCCACGUGUAGCGGUGAAAUGCGUAGAGAUGUGGAGGAACACCAGUGGCGAAGGCGACUCUCUGGUCUGUAACUGACGCUGAGGAGCGAAAGCGUGGGGAGCGAACAGGAUUAGAUACCCCUGGUAGUCCACGCCGUAAACGAUGAGUGCUAAGUGUUA